ACACAACAAUUAGCCAGGCUAUUAGCCAGGCUACCGGUAAGUUAGCUAGACAACAACUAGCCAGGCUACCAGGAAGUUAGCUAGACAACAAUUGGCCAGGCAACCGGGAAGUUAGAAAGGCUAUUAGGAAGUUAGCCAGACGAUAAUUAACAACGCUACCAGGAAGUCAGCCAGGCCUUUGGGAUCUCCGUCUUUAAAGACAUUGGCGCAGAUGCACUUUGUGAAGCACUUGAGCUCUCUGCUCAGUACAAUAUUACAUCUUAGGUAUUUAAACACGCAUUUCCCCGUAUUUCUGGCACUCCUGGUAGACUGGCUAAUUCCUUGGUAGCCUGUCUCACUUCCCAAUAGUCUGGCUAACUUCCUGGUAUACUCCUGGUAGACUGGUUAACUCCCUUGUGAUUUGGCUAACUUCUUAAUAGCCUGGCUAACUUCUUGGUAGUCUGUCUCAAUUCUCAAUAGUCUGGCUAAUGUCCUGGUAGACUGGUUGACUUCAUAGCAGUUUAGCCAACUUCCUGGUAUUCAGGCUCAUUGUUGUCUAGCUAACUUCUUGUUAGCUUUGUUAACUCCUGGUAGCAUUGUUGAUUUCCUGGGAGCCUGGCUAACUUUUUCUGAUAGUCUGGCUCACUUCCUGGUAGCCUGGUUAACUUUCUGGUAGCCCAGCUAACAUGCUGGUAGCCUGGUUAACCUACUGAUAGUCUGGCUAACUUUGUAUUAGCCUGAUUAACUCCCUGGUAGUCUGACUAGCUUCCUGGUAACCUGGUUAACUUCCUGAUAGCCUGCCUAACUUCCUGUUAGCAUGGUUAACCUACUGGCAGCCUGCUUAACUUUCUGGUAUGCGGAAAUCAACCGGUAGCGGCUGUGCCGUAUCAGGCGCUUGGGACUGAGGGACUGGCCGGCACGUUUCCCCCUUCGGACUGGAGGUGCUGUGCGAGUUCUGAGGUUCUAUGUUGCAGCCAGUGCCCUGAAGAAACUGGAGAAAGUUCUCCUCGAUGGAGCCUUCGCGGCUAGCCAGCCUGUCCUCCUCCUCCAUCCCGGCUCGACGAAACAGGCAAGGCAGAUGUUUGCCCAGCUCCUCCCGGAUCUGUCUGUUGAGACAGCCAUAGAAAAAAGGGUUGGACGUGAAGCAGAAGUACCCGAUCCAGGUGACCGCCUCCUCCAGAGAGGCCAGCGCCGCAGGCGGGCUGGCGGCCAAAGCAGAGUACAAGUGAAAAGAAAAGUAGGGCAGCCAGCAGCAAAGAAAUUGCCCGCCUACAGCGGCCAAAACCACCGCCGCCUUUCCACCCCCAAAGGGCCUCUGCGGGGUCUCCCUCCCUGUCCCAGUCCCGGAGCUGGUGACCAUCGUAGAACGACUGCUAAGUGACUCUGAUCUUUGGCGGCGAGGCGUGUCCGUCCAAGUGGGUAGAGGCCCGUGGUGCAUGGCGGCUACGCGGGCUACUUUAAACAUGUUGCAGUACACAACAAAUAUCACUAAAAGAGGACACAGGAAGUACAGCAGUGUGAAGAGGACCAUGAACGCCAAACGGUUUGAACCGCCCCCUGUCCAGUGCAACGAGCAGCGGCGGUGACCCUGACUAGGACCAGGAGACGGGACCGCCCCGCCUCCUCCACUACCAUCCAGGAGGGGAGUUCUUGCACCUUGCAGGAGCCAAGCUAGCAGCGGCAAAGCGGACAUGGCCAAGGCUUUGACCCAUAUCCCCACCAGCACCGACGCUACCAAGCCCACGGUCAUCUUCACCUCGUAGCGCAUAGGGUGGAUGAUGUAAUAAUAGCGCUCCACGUUAAUGACUGAGAUGGACAGGAUUGCGGCACUGACCAGGCAGACGCUGAGGAAGAGGUAACUCUGGCACAGCGCCUCCCCUAAGAAGGCUCUGCUGGAGAGCAUGCCUAGGGGCAUAACCACCAGGGCCGCCAGCAGGUCCACCAAGCACAGGUGGAAGACGAAGGCAAACUUGUGAAGCUGCGGCACCUUGGCGAUGACUGCCAUGAUGGCCGCGUUGCCCACCACAGCCAGCAGAUCCAUGAGCAGCAUGGCUACCAGGGCUAGCCACUGGGAGGGAGGCCAGCCCACAGCCACGGUUGAGGUAGAUGCGUUGGGCGGGAGCGGUGCAAGCAGGCGGCUGGAGUUCCACGCUGGCUCCAUUGGAGGGUGCGAUGAGGCGGGCAGACAGGGUCCGUCACUGACCCAUCACCCAUCCUUCACUGCCAGGAAGUACGGCCAGAGGAUAGCGGCUGGGAAAUUAGGCUGCAGAGAUGGGAAGAGGGGAGGACCGUCAGACUGCCGUCUCCGCAUGGUCCCAAAGUCACCUGGUAGGAACACUGCCUUUAUUAUACACCUUUAAUAACAGUUCAAUAAAGCAUUUUUGUUAUAUUUUGAACAAGUCAAUUAUAAUUGUUAUGAUUAUAUACAAAAUAUCCUUAAUAUUCAUCAUCACUACAAGUAAAUGUCAUUUACACUGAGUCGUACAGUAAGAUUUUUCUUGACAUUUAUAUAUUAUCUUGCUUUAUUCUACCUAGCAUAAUAUUGUAUUGCAUUAAAUCUCGGGUCUCCCUAUGUCUAGAAUUAAAAGAUUACAGUUGGUACAAAAUGCGGCUGCUAGACUUUUGACAAGAACAAGAAAGUUUGGUCACAUUACGCCUAUACUGGCUCACCUGCACUGGCUUCCUGUGCACUUAAGAUGCGACUUUAAGGUUUUACUACUUGCGUAUAAAAUACUAAACGGUCAAGCUCCAUCCUAUCUUGCUGAUUGUAUUGUAACAUAUGUCCCGGCAAGAAAUCUGCGUUCAAAGAACUCCGGCUUAUUAGUGAUUCCCAGAGCCCAAAAAAGUUUGCGGGCUAUAGAGCGUUUUCUAUUCGGGCUCCAGUAGUCUGGAAUGCCCUAACAGUAACAGUUAGAGAUGCUACCUCAGUAGAAGCAUUUAAGUCCCAUCUUAAAACUCAUUUGUAUACUCUAGCCUUUAAAUAGACCUCUUUUAGACCAGUUGAUCUGCAGUCUUUUUUCUGUUCUUCCCCCCUCUCCUGCGUGGAGAGGUUAUUAGGUGACCACAGAUGAGGCGCUAGCUGUUCAAAGUCGGGACCCGGUGUGGACCACCCCUCUGUGUAUCAAUUGAUGACGUCUCUGUGCUGCUGACUUGUCUCCACUCUAGAUGAUCCCCUGCUGGCCCCACUAUGGACUGGACUCUCACUCUAUUAACUAGACCUACUCGACGUCCAUUGCACCGGUCCCCUCCAAGGUUUCCCAUUGUAUCCCAUUGGGUUGAGUUUUUUCUUGCCCUGAUGUGGGAUCUGAGCCGAGGAUGUCGUUGUGGCUUGCGCAGCCCUUUGAGACACUUGUGAUGUAGGGCUAUAUAAAUAAACUUUAAUUGAUUGAUUGAUAAAUAUGGUAUUGCAUUAUAUUAUAUCAUAAUGCAUUAUAGUUUAUAUUGCAUUCUUAUUUUGAAUUACAGUGCAUUACAAUAUAUUACACUGAAUAAAAAUAUAA